UACUGCCCCGCCGCCUCACGCCGACCCGACACAGAUCUCUCGAGCUCCGUGGGUUCAACCAUGGUGAAAUGAGCAAAUCAGUCUCGCCAAUGCUGUGAGGGCCUACGCACGCUCCGGGUGGCAGUCGACCGGGGAGGCCAAGGGACCCCCGUACCAACGCGAGGACAGCGCCGUGCCCGAGGGGCCCUCGGAGGAAGGAGUGGGAGGCCUUGACUCGCUUCUCGGCCUCCGCCAUCAGCUGGACUGCCUCACGCUCCUUCCCCGCGUUGUCCAUGUCGCCAGCAGCCACCGCCACAGCCUCCUCAGCAGUGGACGCGCGCCUUCUGCGCCUUCGCUCUCCCCUCGCAAGGCGGGGAGCGCAGGAGCGGCGCGCGCGGCUUGCCGGGAGUGGUAGUGCGGGGCUCCGACUGGGCGGCGGUAAUGCGCAGCGCGUCAACUACAGUUCCCAGCAGGGCUCAGAGCCGGGCGAGAUGCGGACCCAACUGGUCGACUGCCAGAACCCGGGGUUUCAGGGUGGGCGCCCUAGGCCAAGGUGAACUUUAAUCGUUUAAGUGUGCAGGAAACGGAAAAUGGUCCGUGGCUUCUAGUAAAGAUAACUUCAAACACUCAGCAUCACGUUGGUUCAGGAAUUCCUGCUCAGCAUGACUGACACAUGGCAAUAGGAUGGAUGAGGAAACGGGCUAACAGAAUGGAAUGCUCAACCUACCGGCGAGUUCCGCAAGAGGGAAUCUAAUGCAGCCACAGAAAACAACUUCAUGAACUGUGUAAUACCCAUCCAUGCGCCCACCCACCAGCAACACCUGAGAGAGCCAUUUUUAUCUCCAGAGCAAGAAGUUUAAGAAUGUAUAAUUUUCCCAAAUAUAAUUCAGUUAUUUUUUAGUUUCCUCAUUUUGCAACCUUCUGUUGGUCCUCUCUUCCUUGGUUAUAAGUGAUAUGUAUAAUCCACUUUUUAUUGACAGAAUUCUUUUCAAUGAAUGUUAGCCAUUGAGCUCUCUUAUCCUUUACAUGAUACUGGCCAUAGGGGGUCGGUCUCCUGGGACACAAUUCCCGCCUGCCAGGAAAUCUAAUUUCCUAGAAGUAUCCAUAGACAGAUGCUACCCUGUGCCAAAGAUUUCCAGGACUGCCCAGAGGGAGUUAUUUUUUUAAUAUAAAGUCCAGACCAUUCACAUUUGGCAAUGCUAAAGCAGAGGUGGUGAAGCAUAUAUAAAAAUUACUGCCAAAUGAGAACUUGUGACAAUUUUAAACUAUUAAUAAGUACACUGUGGGUACUGGCACACAAAAUGUAUCUUAGAAAAUGUAGUCUGCCUUUACAGAACAAGGCAAGAAGGGCCAAACUCCUAGAAGGAAAGAUAACUAAAGCAAACGUCAGUGUUCAUGCAUUGCAGGACACUCUAGAGAUAGAAGGAAAUCUCAGCUUUCCAGGCAGAGUUUAUUUAGUAUUACUAUAUGCAUUAUUCUAACUUAAUUGCUUUUGGAGCAAGAUGGGGGAAGAGGAGCAGGAAUUGGAGGUGGUUGUAAAUGCAGGAGUAAAGAGGAAAACUGAAAAGUGGACAUAAGCGUUUGAAAAGCAGAGCAGUAUAUGGGGAUAUAAUGAAAAGAGCCAACUCAAACUCUGAAGUGCAGCAUCAGUUAAUUAAAGCAGUUCCCAAACCUGGCUCAAUGCCAAAACUAAAGGAUGUUCAAGAAAUACUGAUUCCUAAGCCACUAGCUUUUUGUAUCAGUAUCUCCUAGAGUUGGGAAGUGUACAUUUUAAAAAGAUUCUCCACAACUAUUCUAAAGCUUACAAUUCUCGAUUCUCAAAUCUGUAGUCAGCUGUACAGGAGGUAGAAUGGACUGCCUCCUCUAAACUAGUACUUGCAAUUAAAAUUUGUGAAGAGGAAAUUUGAGUAAUUUACAUCAAAAAGCUAAUCAGCCCUUUGUUCUGCUUCUGUAAAUAUGCUUGCUGUAUGCAGGAGCUCAUGCAAGAGCUCACUUGCACUUUACUCGACUUGUAGACUUGUAAAUGUAACUGCCCCUGCCUUUUGUAGCACCUUGUACCUUGGCAGGUCCCGCUUCCUGUAACAAUUUGUAUUCGCUGUUUACCUAUAACAACUCCCACCCUUCUCCAAUGUUACUACUUGCAAUUUGCAUAGCAACUCCCACCAUUUGUAAUGGUUUGAGUUCAAACUGACUAAUCAGCUUAUGUAAAAUCCUUGUAUAUAAGGAAUGUUGCCACUGAGCACACUACCCAGAUCUUCAGAACACUAGAUCCUCUGGGAGCCCAUGUAGUAAAUCUGAGUUCUCCUA